rnacentral:rRNA from 1 species
GAUGAACGCUGGCGGCGUGCCUAAUACAUGCAAGUCGAGCGAACAGACGCGGAGCUUGCUCCUCUGACGUUAGCGACGGACGGGUGAGUCACACGUGGAUAACCUACCUAUAAGACUUGGAUAACUUCGGGAGACCGGAGCUAAUACCGGAUAAUAUAUUGAACCGCAUGGUUCAAUAGUGAAAGACGGUUUUGCUGUCCCUUAUAGAUGGAUCCGCGCGGCAUUAGUUAGUUGGUAAGGUAACGGCUUACCAAGGCAGCGAUGCGUGGCCGACCUGCCAGGGGGUAGGCCCACUCAGAGAGUGGGAGGCGGUACUGGGUCCUACGGGAGGCAGAGGUAGGGACGCUUGCGAGAUGGGGGAAAGCCUGACGGAGCAGCGCCGGGCGGGUGCUGAGAGUCUUCGGAUCGUAAAACGCUCUUAGUGGUGAAGACCAAUUUCGUAAGUAACUAUGCACGUUUUGACGGUACCUAGUCAGAAAGCCCCGGCUAACUACGUG